rnacentral:rRNA from 1 species
UACGUAGGGUGCGAGCGUUGUCCGGAUUUAUUGGGCGUAAAGAGCUCGUAGGCGGUUUGUCGCGUCGGCCGUGAAAUCUCCACGCUUAACGUGGAGCGUGCGGUCGAUACGGGCAGACUUGAGUUCGGUAGGGGAGACUGGAAUUCCUGGUGUAGCGGUGAAAUGCGCAGAUAUCAGGAGGAACACCGGUGGCGAAGGCGGGUCUCUGGACCGAUACUGACGCUGAGGAGCGAAAGCGUGGGGAGCGAACAGG